rnacentral:rRNA from 1 species
GGGGGACCUUCGGGCCUCAUGCCAUCAGAUGUGCCCAGAUGGGAUUAGCUAGUAGGUGGGGUAACGGCUCACCUAGGCAACGAUCCCUAGCUGGUCUGAGAGGAUGACCAGCCACACUGGAACUGAGACACGGUCCAGACUCCUACGGGAGGCAGCAGUGGGGAAUAUUGCACAAUGGGCGCAAGCCUGAUGCAGCCAUGCCGCGUGUGUGAAGAAGG